rnacentral:rRNA from 5 species
GCUUGUCUCAAAGAUUAAGCCAUGCAUGUCUCAGUACAAGCCAAAUUAAGGUGAAACCGCGAAAGGCUCAUUAAAUCAGUUAUGGUUCCUUAGAUCGUACCCACAAUUACUUGGAUAACUGUGGUAAUUCUAGAGCUAAUACAUGCAAACAGAGCUCCGACCGGAGACGGAAGGAGUGCUUUUAUUAGAUCAAAACCAAUCGGUGGCGGGCUCGUCAUCGUACAACUUGGUGACUCUGAAUAACUUUACGCUGAUCGCACGGUCAUCGCACCGGCGACGCAUCUUUCAAAUGUCUGCCUUAUCAACUGUCGAUGGUAGGUUCUGCGCCUACCAUGGUUGUAACGGGUAACGGGGAAUCAGGGUUCGAUUCCGGAGAGGGAGCCUGAGAAACGGCUACCACAUCCAAGGAAGGCAGCAGGCGCGCAAAUUACCCACUCCCGGCACGGGGAGGUAGUGACGAAAAAUAACGAUACGGGACUCAUCCGAGGCCCCGUAAUCGGAAUGAGUACACUCUAAACCCUUUAACGAGGAUCAAUUGGAGGGCAAGUCUGGUGCCAGCAGCCGCGG